GUUUGUUCUUCAGACUUUGCUGCUCGCCCAUUGCCUGGAUCGGGGGCUACUUUGUAAACCACCAGGAAGACUCCAGUGUUUCUGCUUAAUUUUUAGAUGUUUGUUAAUUGCUCUUGGCCUCUCAUUAAUCCCCUGUGGGUCAUCCAGGAAACAUAGUCACCACUGUCUGUUCUCUGAGUUUUCAUUUCCAGGCAUCUGCCCUGCCUGGAUCUCCUCACCUGCCAGGAACUUCCUCUCCACGAGCCGGCCAUCCCAGCAAAAGUUCUAACACCAAAGGUCUGGCAACUAGCCUGCCAUCUUGUGCCUGGAGCCGCCUGCGUGCCACCUACCCCCAAAGAUGGGAACCUCGUUGCCAGUUGGGCAGAUGCAGGGCAAUCCUGUACCAAGCCCCCAUUUUACCACCUGCUUUCUCAGACCACUCUGGAACCCACUGUCUCAGAUUGGGUCCUCCAGGAAGCAGACCGUGAGAGGGAGCUGGCAGGGCCAAAGGUUUACUGGGGCUAACUAACACUCAGGAAAGGGACAGGAAGGAAGCAGGGCUGGAGAGCAGGUUGAGCCCGACCUGACAGUCUCGAGCAGCCCAACAGGGAGGUGUGGAGCAAGGGUUGCCCACUAGAGGGGCCUGCAUUGGGUACGGGUGGUGGGGUCCACAUGGUACCUGGCACAUAGCAGGCUGUGCAAUCCAUAUUAAGUGACUGGAAAAAUUAAUGCCCAGAAAAGGUGCCUUGGAGAAUGGGUGCGUGCUGAACACAAUAGGGAAGGGCCCAGCAUCUGUCUUGGCAUAGGCAGAACUGUGCUGUGCCCUGCAACAUGCCACCUGAGAGCUGCUUUGAUCUUGUGUGUGCAUUAGACAACUGCCAGGGGCAUGAAGAGGAUGUGCUUCUAGGGCAUUUGCUGGCAGGGCGUCUCCUGAUCUCUUGGUAUUGGUGUGAGCACAGCCUGGUAGGAGAGGGCAGAUCUCAGUGCAAAGUAUGUCAAAAAGCAGAUCGAAGCCAGGCUCCCUCCUGAAAGAGGCUCCUUGAAGCAUUUUUAAAAGGCAAACUGGUUUUCUUCCUGAGAAGAAUUCAUUGAUUCACUCGUGGCCAGGACAGAGAAGAGUCCAUGAGAAUCAACAUUUUCUGAGGACUCCAACUGUGUGCCGAGAGAGAGUUCCCGUGCUGCUGCCUCCUCUGUAGUAAAGCAAAGGCUCCUAGGACCACAUUAUCAUUCUCUUCACUCGAGAGAUGAAGACACUGAAAUUCAGAGAGGGGAAGUGAUUUGCCUCAGCUUGUACUGAAAAGCAGGAAUAACAUACUACAGAAGUACAUGAGGCAGUUAAGUACCAAAUGGUUUCACUUUGUCACUCAGGCUGGAGUGCAGUGAUGUGAUCAUAGCUUUCUGCAGCCUUGACCUCCUGGGCUCAAGUGAUCCUCCCACCUCCACCUCCUUAGUAGCUAGGACCACAGGCAUGCACCAGCACACCCAGCAAAUUAAAAAAAAAUUUUUUUUUUUUUUUUUUUUUUGAGACGGAGUCUGGCUCUGUCGCCCAGGCUGGAGUGCAGUGGCACGAUCUCGGCUCACUGCAAGCUCCACCUCCCGGAUUCAUGCCAUUCUCCUGCCUCAGACUCCCGAGUAGCUGGGACUACAGGCGCCCGCCACCUCGCCCGGCUAAUUUUUUUUUGUAUUUUUAGUAGAGACGGGGUUUCACCAUGUUAGCCAGGAUGGUCUCGAUCUCCUGACCUCGUGAUCCGCCCGCCUCGGCCUCCCAAAGUGCUGGGAUUACAGGCGUGAGCCACAGCGCCCGGCCUAAAAAAAUUUUUUUAAAGAUGAGGUCUCACUAUGUUGCCCAGGCUGGUCUGAAAUUCCUGGCCUCAAGCAAUCCUCUUGCCUCAACCUCCCAAAGUGCUGAGAUUACAGGCAUGAGCUACCAUGCCUGGCCUAAAACAUUUUUAAUGGAAGUGUAAUUUGCAAACAGAAAACAUGCCCAAAUAUUAAGUGAAUGCACUGAUGAACAUUCACAACUUAACAAGAUAGCCAGCACUUAAAUCACAAAAUAGAACACCGCUAGGACCUCGUUGUAAUACCCUCCAAGUCACUACUUCUGCCCAAAGCAGAUAUUGAAAAACAGAUUUCUAAAGCGGCUGUAGCGAUUUACAUUACCACCAGCAAUGUGUGAGUUCCAUUUGCUCUCCAUCCUUGACAGCACAUGUUGUCACUUAGAAAGAAACAUUUCAACAGAGAACCCAGUGGAAAUUAUGACAUGUUAUCUUCUCAGAGUCCUGAACUCCCAUCCCUACCUCAGAAGAGAUUCCUCUGUUCACAGAAGCUAAAGGCAGUUCCUUCCCAAUGGCAACUAUGUUUGGAUGUUGGAUCUACGCUUUCUCAAGCACUAUGAUCUUCAAAUCAAAGGAGAUUUCUCCCAUUAUAUACUUCUUAUGAUCAACAAAUUCCAUCAUCUCCCCACUAAGAGAAAGUACUCCAAGAUGAUAGAAUGAUUUUAAAGUUAUGGGACUACAACAGCAUCCACAGGAACCUUGAGUAAGUACCAUGAACCCUGACCCUCAGUGUUAAUUUGUAAGCCUUUGGCAGUGAGAUGGAAUGUCUUCCUUCAGUUUGAAACAAAGGAAACCUAUUGCAUCACAGGUAAAAUUUGUAUAUUGAUGCUAUAUUGACUUUGUAGCUGCCAUGCCUUCAUAUAGACACCUCAUCCAGCCCCCACUGUUCCACUUAUUGUGAUGGUUUGUGUAUCUUUAUUUCAAAGAAGAUCUGUUUGAACAAUGUUUAAUUUGUUCUUUGACCUGCUUUCAUCACUGCCCAUGCCUACUGUGGUGGCAUUCUCAUCCACUAGAGUACCACAUCCAUGCCACUAGGUGGCAUUCUCAUCCAUGAGACUACUGCACCCGUGCACGUGUCAAGAAGUAGCCAAGCCAUGGGCUGGGUUGUGCUUUUCCUGAGAGGAUGAAAGGCUUCAUGGAUACAUGCUAGUAUCCAUGUUCCUCUAUUCCCAAGUCAGGCACCAAGAUGAUGUUUCAUACCUGCCUGCCUUUCAAAGUCUCAUAAAUGUUCAUUGAAUAUCCACUCUACGCAAGGCACUAGGGUAGUCACAGAGGCAAGCUUUGAGCUAAACUACAGGCCCUGCCCUCCAGGAGCUCCCGGUCUCAUGGCAGGGUACAGAAGCCAGAAUAGAGGGCCAUGGCAUGGGAGAGAACUCUGCCGACUGGGAGCUCUGAAGGGUUAGGGGUCCAUGAGCCUGAUUUAUGGGGCUGUUGCCAUAGGAUUAGGGGCUCCCUGGCAUACAGUGAAUGGAGAGACUAGCAUCGCUGUGUUAUUUCACUGAGAAGGCACCAGUGUUCAGCCUCUUGAGACCAGGGGAGGAAAGCAGUGGCUGUGAAUGUUCCCUCCCAUCCCGGGGACUGACUGGGCUCCUCCCACAGUCUCAGACGCAGAGGAGGAAGUGUACUGACACUGCCCCAACACCAGUGAUUGGAAAUAUUUAUAGGUCUCUCAUUUGGUUUUAAUUUUUAUUUUUUUAUUUUUCAAAAAUUAAAAAAAAAAGAAAAUCACACUCACAAAAUUAACCAUUACCCACAUUCCUAGCAACAAGAAGUAACCAUUCUUAACCUUGUAAUAUGUUGGUUUCCGGAUGUAUGUUUAUGCUUUAAAAAAUUAUGCAGACAACAUAUUAGUACAUUGCCCCUUUUCACAUUUGUUUUAAUCCAUGUUCUUCCCAUUUAUACAGGAGCAAUUCUUGCAUUCAGUUAUGGGAUACUAUAAAUGCCUAGUAUAAUGGCAGCAGAGAGGAUUACUAUGGUUGUAUACCUUUUCUCGCUCCUUGCUCCUCAAAUGCCUAGAGUUUAAAAUCUAUUGUGGAAAGUUUGUAAAAUGCAGGACGGUGAAAAUAAACACAUUACCAGUGGUUCUUUGGCUUCGGGAGAACUGUAAUUGAUGUUCAUUUUGGUAUAUUUCCCUCCAGUAUUUUUUCCAUAUUGUUUUAUUUUUAAAAAUUAUACCCUUUAUAUAUAUACAUAUAUAUACAUACUAACUACUCACAAAAUUAAAAAUUAAAAAAAUUAAAAAUGUAUAAAAUAAAAAAAUAAUUAGCCUCAUUUUGUAUUUACUAUUUUAUAAUCUGCCUUUUUGCUUAAUUUUCUU